rnacentral:rRNA from 1 species
UACGGGGGGGGCAAGCGUUGUUCGGAAUCAUUGGGCGUAAAGAGCGUGUAGGCGGCCCGGUAAGUCCGCUGUGAAAGUCGGGGGCUCAACCCUCGAAUGCCGGUGGAUACUGUCGGGCUAGAGUGCGGAAGAGGCGAGUGGAAUUCCUGGUGUAGCGGUGAAAUGCGCAGAUAUCAGGAGGAACACCAAUUGCGAAGGCAGCUCGCUGGGACGUAACUGACGCUGAGACGCGAAAGCGUGGGGAGCAAACAGG